rnacentral:rRNA from 1 species
UACGUAUGUCGCAAGCGUUAUCCGGAAUUAUUGGGCAUAAAGGGCGUCUAGGCGGUUUAGUAAGUUCGAUGUGAAAAUGCGGGGCUCAACUCCGUAUUGCGUUGAAAACUGCUAGACUAGAGUUUUGGAGAGGUAGGCGGAACUACAAGUGUAGAGGUGAAAUUCGUAGAGAUUUGUAGGAAUGCCGAUGACGAAGGUAGCUUACUGGACAAAUACUGACGCUGAAGCGCGAAAGCUAGGGGAGCAAACAGG